rnacentral:tRNA from 1 species
GCCUUCGUGGUGUAGUGGUCUGCACGCUGGACGAUCAUUCCAGAGGUCCGUGGUUCGAUUCCCGGCGAGGGCA